CUGGACGUAACAACACCCAAAGGACCCCAUAGGAGCCCUUAGGACCCCAUAGGACAGCGCCCCUGGUGGCAGCUGGACGUAACAACACCCAUAGGACCCCAUAGGACCCCAUAGGACCCCAUAGGACCACAUAGGACCCCAUAGGACAGCGCCCCUGGUGGUGGCUGGAUGUAAGAACACCCAUAGGACCCCAUAGGACCCAUUGCACAGCGCGCCCUGGUGGCGGCUGGAUGAAACAACACCCAAAGGACCCCAUAGGAGCCCAUAGGACAGCGCCCCCUGGUGGUGGCUGGACGUAACAACACACAUGGGACCCAUAGGACCCCAUAGGACCCCACUGCAUAGCGGGAUGCUCCUAUGGGGUUGGGGUCGCUCCUAUGGGGCUGGUGAUGCUCCUAUGGGGUUGAUGCCAUCUCUAAUGGGAUGGAGACCCCAUGGGGCCGUUCCUAUGGGGAUGGAGCCCUUAUGGGGCCGUCGCUAUGGGGCUGGGGUUGCUCCUGUGGGGUUGGGGCUGUUCCUAUGGGGUUGGGGUCUUUCCUAUGGGGUGGGGCUGUUCCUAUGGGGCUGGGGUCGCUCCUAUGGGGCUGGGGAUGCUCCUAUGGGGUUGAUGCCAUCUCUAAUGGGAUGGAGACCCCAUGGGGCCGUUCCUAUGGGAUCGGGGUUACUCCUAUGGGGUUGGGGAUGCUCCUAUG
rnacentral:lncRNA from 1 species